rnacentral:rRNA from 1 species
CGAACGCUGGCAGCGUGGAUUAGGCAUGCAAGUCGUACGAGGGCGCUUUGUUAGCAAUAAUUGAGACGCCCGAGUGGCGGAAGGGCGAGUAACGCCUGAGCAACCUGCCCCCUUGCUGGGGAUACCUCGGGGGAAACCCGAGUUAAUACCGAAUGUGACUAGGGCUGGCAUCAGCCCGGCGUCAAAGGCGGGGACCGCAAGGCCUGCCGCAAGGGGAGGGGUUCAGGUACCAUCAGCUAGUCGGUGGGGUGACGGCCUACCGAGGCGACGACGGUUAGCUGGUCUGAGAGGACGACCAGCCGCACUGGGACUGAGAUACUGCCCAGACUCCUACGGGAGGCUGCAGUCGAGGAUCAUUCGCAAUGGGCGCAAGCCUGACGAUGCGACGCUGCGUGGAGGAUAGGAAGGGCUUCGGCUCGUAAACUCCUGUCAUGAGGGAAAAAGCUCCCGUUGGUUAACAGCCUGCGGGGUCGAUGGUACUUCAAGAGGAAGCCACGGCUAACUCUGUGCCAGCCGCUGC